UCUGAAUUGUGGUCAAGUAAAAUGAGCAGUGUCCAAUGAAAUGUAAUAAAUCGUAUUUUAUUUGACAUAUUACUACAUAACAUAACAUGUACGGUUGAACUGUUAUCCUUGUGUAGCAGGUAACGGCUAGUGAAAGUGUAGUUUAUGCUGACCGAAGUGCGAAUCACGUGACAUUUGUAGAGAGUGAGCUCGUGUUCAUUCAGUAGGCAGUUUUUCAAGGACAAAGAACAUGAAGAACGAACACGGAGCGAAAAAGGAAGAGACUUUAAUAUUUACAUGAAAACGUGAAAAGAUGCCGGUCCUAGUGUAGAGAGCCAGAGACUUUUAAUAUUUCAAUGGAAACAUGAAGUCCUUGUGAAGACAGCCAGUGGAUAUGUUAAAUGGUGCCAGGUGUUGUGUUGUGUAUGUCUCUUGCCUUCUGCUAUUGCAUGGAUCUUCAUUAUCUGCAGUUUAAUUCUAAAUAGAAGAGUACAAGAUGUCCCUAGAAUUUACUGACACUGGUCUUACUAAGAGCCUGAAACCUGCACCAAAAGACGCUUGUCCCUCAAGAAAUGUGAACAGCAUUGAACAACCUCAAGCUUGAGCUAAGCUCCCAAUUUCUAGAGUGUAUUUAAACCAUCUGUUCAAAGUCAACACCAUAUUUCAGGAACUGUGAUGACACUGAGGAAAUAUUCUACAAUCUUCACCAUGGUAACGGUUGAAUAGGGAUUCCCACAUAGCAAUUGCUGUACAGUGUAAUGCCAGCAUGUAUGUUUUUCUAAGCAAGCGACAGUGUGUCAAGGUGGAAGCUGUGCAUCUGGACAGGAUGAGAGUGGUUGUAUUCCAAUGGCUGUAAGCAUGAAAUCACCUGACCUUGUGUGGGAGACAUCUAUGAAUGGAUCAACCAGAUGUAUACCUCUAAUUUAAAGCUUGUGAAUUUGCACCUUCUGCACAACAUCAUGACCAAGUUUGUUCUGAUACCUGCCAUCAUUUCAGUUGACACUCAAAAUGGAAAAUUUUAUAGCUCCUAAAAUUCACCAUGGCGAUGACCUUCUGGCUGUCAGAAUAGGAAACAAAACAUAACUCAUUGAAAACCAAGAUAUCCUUGCUCUUCAAGUCUGCCGUAGAGCCCAAAGAUGUCACAGUCAAGAUAGUGCAUAUGUUCCUGUUCCAAGGUUAGCUACUGCAGACCAAACUGAAGGAGAAAGUAAAAUGCUAAUUCAU